rnacentral:rRNA from 1 species
GACGAACGCUGGCGGCGUGCCUAACACAUGCAAGUCGAACGGAAAGGCCCUGCUUUCGUGUGGUGCUCGAGGGGCGAACGGGUGAGUAACACAUGAGUAACCUGGCCUUGACGGUGGGAUAACCUCAGGCAGCUGGGGCUAAUACCGGAUAGGAGCUCCUGCUGCAUGGUGGGCGUUGGACCGUUUCGGCGGAUGGGGAUGUACUCGCGGCUAACCAGCUUGUUGGUGGGGUAGUGGCUUACCAAGGCUUUGACGGGUAGCCGGCCUGGGAGCGUGGACACCCACCUUGGUACUGCGGGACGGCCCAGUCGCCUACGUUGGGCAGCAGUGGAGAAUCUUGCCCAAUGGGCCGAAGCGUGAUACGGCGACGCCGCGAUCGGGAAGACGGCCUUCGUGUUGUAAACCGCUGUCAGCUGAGACGAAGCGUUAGUGACGUUAACAAGUAAAGAAGCACCGGCUAACUACGUG